UUUGGUUUCAAGAACCGUGCAGGUUUGGCAUUACCACAGGGCAUCACCGGGUAGCGCGCUUGAACUCAGACCGACGGCUAAAAAAAUCACGCCGUCCAGUCAUCCGCCAGCGCAAUUGUGCUUAUCGCGGUUAUGUCUUUAGUGUUACGCCAAGGAGGAAGUUUGAAUGGCAACAGGUACUGUCAAGUGGUUCAGCGAUGCCAAGGGUUUUGGAUUCAUCACCCCCGAUGACGGCGGCGAGGAUGUGUUCGCACAUUUCUCCGCCAUCCAGUCCAAUGGCUUCAAAACCCUGAAGGAAGGCCAGAAGGUCAGCUUCGAGGUCAGCCAGGGCCCCAAAGGCAAGCAGGCUUCCAACAUCCAGCCGCAAGGUUGAGUUGCUGGAUUGAUAAAAAACCCCGCUUCGGCGGGGUUUUUUGUU
rnacentral:other from 1 species